GGCCCCAUCGUCUAGUCUGGUCAGGACGCUAGAUUCUCAUUCUAGUAACAGGGGUUCGAAUCCCCUUGGGGCUACCA
rnacentral:tRNA from 1 species